rnacentral:rRNA from 5 species
UUUAUGGAGAGUUUGAUCCUGGCUCAGGAUGAACGCUGGCGGCGUGCCUAAUACAUGCAAGUCGAGCGAACGGACGAGAAGCUUGCUUCUCUGAUGUUAGCGGCGGACGGGUGAGUAACACGUGGAUAACCUACCUAUAAGACUGGGAUAACUUCGGGAAACCGGAGCUAAUACCGGAUAAUAUUUUGAACCGCAUGGUUCAAAAGUGAAAGACGGUCUUGCUGUCACUUAUAGAUGGAUCCGCGCUGCAUUAGCUAGUUGGUAAGGUAACGGCUUACCAAGGCAACGAUGCAUAGCCGACCUGAGAGGGUGAUCGGCCACACUGGAACUGAGACACGGUCCAGACUCCUACGGGAGGCAGCAGUAGGGAAUCUUCCGCAAUGGGCGAAAGCCUGACGGAGCAACGCCGCGUGAGUGAUGAAGGUCUUCGGAUCGUAAAACUCUGUUAUUAGGGAAGAACAUAUGUGUAAGUAACUGUGCACAUCUUGACGGUACCUAAUCAGAAAGCCACGGCUAACUACGUGCCAGCAGCCGCGGUAAUACGUAGGUGGCAAGCGUUAUCCGGAAUUAUUGGGCGUAAAGCGCGCGUAGGCGGUUUUUUAAGUCUGAUGUGAAAGCCCACGGCUCAACCGUGGAGGGUCAUUGGAAACUGGAAAACUUGAGUGCAGAAGAGGAAAGUGGAAUUCCAUGUGUAGCGGUGAAAUGCGCAGAGAUAUGGAGGAACACCAGUGGCGAAGGCGACUUUCUGGUCUGUAACUGACGCUGAUGUGCGAAAGCGUGGGGAUCAAACAGGAUUAGAUACCCUGGUAGUCCACGCCGUAAACGAUGAGUGCUAAGUGUUAGGGGGUUUCCGCCCCUUAGUGCUGCAGCUAACGCAUUAAGCACUCCGCCUGGGGAGUACGACCGCAAGGUUGAAACUCAAAGGAAUUGACGGGGACCCGCACAAGCGGUGGAGCAUGUGGUUUAAUUCGAAGCAACGCGAAGAACCUUACCAAAUCUUGACAUCCUUUGACAACUCUAGAGAUAGAGCCUUCCUCUUCGGGGGACAAAGUGACAGGUGGUGCAUGGUUGUCGUCAGCUCGUGUCGUGAGAUGUUGGGUUAAGUCCCGCAACGAGCGCAACCCUUAAGCUUAGUUGCCAUCAUUAAGUUGGGCACUCUAAGUUGACUGCCGGUGACAAACCGGAGGAAGGUGGGGAUGACGUCAAAUCAUCAUGCCCCUUAUGAUUUGGGCUACACACGUGCUACAAUGGACAAUACAAAGGGCAGCGAAACCGCGAGGUCAAGCAAAUCCCAUAAAGUUGUUCUCAGUUCGGAUUGUAGUCUGCAACUCGACUACAUGAAGCUGGAAUCGCUAGUAAUCGUAGAUCAGCAUGCUACGGUGAAUACGUUCCCGGGUCUUGUACACACCGCCCGUCACACCACGAGAGUUUGUAACACCCGAAGCCGGUGGAGUAACCUUUUAGGAGCUAGCCGUCGAAGGUGGGACAAAUGAUUGGGGUGAAGUCGUAACAAGGUAGCCGUAUCGGAAGGUGCGGCUGGAUCACCUCCUUU